rnacentral:snRNA from 1 species
GGAUGUGAGGGCGAUCUGGCUGCGACAUCUGUCACCUCAUUGAUCGCCAGGGUUGAUUCAGCUGAUCUGGCUGGCUAGGCGGGUGUCUCCUUCCUCCCUCAACGAUCCAUGUGCGUCCCUCCCGAAGCUGCACGCUUGGUCGAAGAGGACGACCACCCUCGAUAGAGGAGGACCGUUCCUCGGUCAAGGGUAUACGAGUAGCUGCGCUCCCCUGCUAGAACCUCCAAACAAGCUCUCAAAAAGAUCUUGGUAAGAUAAACAAGUUAGUUAGUUCAAAAAUUGACUGAAAUUUAUAAUAAUCACACCAAAGUAAAUGGGUCUAGGAUAAUGAU